rnacentral:rRNA from 1 species
AUGAGUUGUCAUGAUGGCAUCAACAUCCACGAUGGAAAGUUCUACCUAGGUGAUGCUGGCUAUGCAUGUCGGCCAGGUGUUCUUCCACCCUCCAGGUAAACCAGGUACCAUCUAAAUGAGUUCUCUGGUGGGAACUAUCCUAGGACUCCUCAGAAACUAUUCGAUCUCAGACACUAGAGCCUCGGAGUAACGACUGAGUGGGCAUUUGGAGCCCUAAAGAAUAGGUUUAAGAUCUUGGAGCAUAAGCCAUUCCACCCUUACCCUACCCAGGUCAAGCUUAUUCUUGCAUGUUGCAUCAUUCAUAACUGGAUACUACAAAUAGGAAUUGAUGAACUUGUGCCGAAGGAGGAAGAUUUGAUUCCUGAUGAUGUGAUCAGCUCUGGCCAUGGUGUGGAGGUGUUCGACAGUGAAUUGUGGAAGAAGAAAAGGUUGGAGUGGGCUGAGGCAACGUGGGAUAAUAGAGGUCAGACAAGGAUCUCAAGCAGCAGAAGAAGAUGCAGCAGCUGA